rnacentral:rRNA from 1 species
GACGAACGCUGGCGGCGUGCUUAACACAUGCAAGUCGAACGGAAAGGCCCUGCUUUUGUGGGGUGCUCGAGUGGCGAACGGGUGAGUAACACGUGAGUAACCUGCCCUUGACUUUGGGAUAACUUCAGGAAACUGGGGCUAAUACCGGAUAGGAGCUCCUGCUGCAUGGUGGGGGUUGGAAAGUUUCGGCGGUUGGGGAUGGACUCGCGGCUUAUCAGCUUGUUGGUGGGGUAGUGGCUUACCAAGGCUUUGACGGGUAGCCGGCCUGAGAGGGUGACCGGCCACAUUGGGACUGAGAUACGGACCAGACUCCUACGGGAGGCAGCAGUGGGGAAUAUUGCACAAUGGGCGGAAGCCUGAUGCAGCAACGCCGCGUGCGGGAUGACGGUCUUCGGGUUGUAAACCGCUUUCGCCUGUGGCGAAGCGUGAGUGACGGUAAUGGGUAAAGAAGCACCGGCUAACUACGUG